GCUAGUAAUCGCAGAUCAGCAUGCUGCGGUGAAUACGUUCCCGGGCCCUUGUACACACCGCCCGUCACACCAUGGGAGUCGGUAACACCCGAAGUCGGUAGCCUAACCGUAAGGAGGGCGCCGCCGAAGGUGGGAUUGAUGACUGGGGUGAAGUCGUAACAAGGUAGC
rnacentral:rRNA from 1 species